AGAGUUUGAUCCUGGCUCAGAACGAACGCUGGCGGCAGGCUUAACACAUGCAAGUCGAACGGGCACCUUCGGGUGUCAGUGGCAGACGGGUGAGUAACACGUGGGAACGUGCCUUUCGGUUCGGGAUAACCCAGGGAAACUUGGGCUAAUACCGGAUACGCCCUUUGGGGGAAAGAUUUAUUGCCGAAAGAUCGGCCCGCGUCUGAUUAGCUAGUUGGUAGGGUAAUGGCCUACCAAGGCGACGAUCAGUAGCUGGUCUGAGAGGAUGAUCAGCCACACUGGGACUGAGACACGGCCCAGACUCCUACGGGAGGCAGCAGUGGGGAAUAUUGGACAAUGGGCGCAAGCCUGAUCCAGCCAUGCCGCGUGAGUGAUGAAGGCCCUAGGGUUGUAAAGCUCUUUCGGCGGGGACGAUAAUGACGGUACCCGCAGAAGAAGCCCCGGCUAACUUCGUGCCAGCAGCCGCGGUAAUACGAAGGGGGCUAGCGUUGUUCGGAAUCACUGGGCGUAAAGGGCGCGUAGGCGGCCGAUCAAGUCGGGGGUGAAAGCCUGUGGCUCAACCACAGAAUUGCCUUCGAUACUGUUUGGCUUGAGACCGGAAGAGGUAAGUGGAACUGCGAGUGUAGAGGUGAAAUUCGUAGAUAUUCGCAAGAACACCAGUGGCGAAGGCGGCUUACUGGUCCGGUUCUGACGCUGAGGCGCGAAAGCGUGGGGAGCAAACAGGAUUAGAUACCCUAGUAGUCC
rnacentral:rRNA from 1 species